rnacentral:lncRNA from 1 species
CUACCAUGUACAAGGGCACUUCUCCCCCAGAAGGAAGCUACCGUCUGGGACUGCCUGGCCCCUGAAAGUCAUCCUCAGGAUUUAAUGAUUUCUCUACUGAUGAUCUUACCUUAGAGUCAUAGAGAAAAAGCAAAAUUCUGAAGUAUGAAUACCAUAUGCUAGAGACACC